rnacentral:rRNA from 1 species
GACGAACCGUGCGAACGUUAUUCGGAAUCACUGGGCUUAAAGCGCGUGUAGGCGGACGGGAACGUCGGAUACUGAAAGCCCCCGGCUCAACCGGGGAAGUGGUGCCGAAACGACCUGUCUGGAGGGACGUAGGGGGACCUGGAACUUCCGGUGGAGCGGUGAAAUGCGUUGAGAUCGGAAGGAACGCCCGUGGCGAAAGCGGCUCACUGGACCACAACUGACGCUGAUGCACGAAAGCUAGGGGAGCAAACAG